rnacentral:lncRNA from 1 species
AUGGUGAAUGGCUGCAGUUACUACAUUCUACUUGAUGUAACUUCUAUUUUGACAGCAUCUUUCCAAUCCACUGUGCAACAGCAUUUAAUAGAUUGCCAAGAUGGGCAGAGCUGGGGAGCCCUGGAAGGCACUGGAGUCAGCCCAAUCCUGCUGUCCAGCAGGUCACUCACAUAUCUCGUGUCCCGGGGGUUUUGGUGCUCAUGUGCAUGGAGCUGUGAGAAGGUGGAGCUGAGAAAAGAGGCAGCAAACAUUACCAUGGCUAGCUUGUUGGACAUGGUCCAGCUACUGUUUUCUGGGAAAAAAAAAAAAAAGAUAACUUUUUCUUCUUCAGUGGCUGUGGUUCUGCUUUAUGAUCUUAUACUUGAAAAGUACUUUAUGACCAUUAUUUGGUGCAACAUGGUGUGCAGAGCCUGGGGAUUCAGAGACAGGUGGUACGUCUAUGCUGCAGAGCACAGAGCUAGGCGAGUAAACAGCAGGGGUCCUGGAGGCAGAAAACUGUCUGUUAGGCAUUUAUUUGCUGCUGUUCAUAUAAUAGUGAUGGUGUGUCUACAUGUUGUUCUGGAACUAGUCCUGUUCAUCUCACAUCCUAGAGAUUGGGCAGGCCCUUGUCUGAGGGAUUUCUCUGCAAACUUACUAAGUGCUUUUUAUUCCUCCCUGCCUCAUCCCAGUCUCAGAAGUGUGAGUCAUUAAAGAUGCUCAAGCCUUGAACGCUAUGGGGAGAAAAGUCUAGAGCUGUAUGGAAAUGGAUUGUGAGGACACGGAAAUAAUCUCCUUCACAGCGUCUCUGCUGUCACCACAUCUCUUGGGGAUUCCUUUUCCCAUCCAUGGUUCACUGAGUGUAUGCCAUCUGCUAGGGGAUGUUCUGGGAAGCUCCUGGUGCCCAAGGCUGUGCUGUUCUCCUGCAACAUGGUGGGAGUUAGUAUUUUUAGUUGCGUUUCUUGGUUGAGAAAUCACUGAUGGGAAGAACAUACGCUGGUUACAAGCAAUACAUGCUGAAAAGUAAGGAUUGUGAAGGAUCUCAAAUUGCUUAAAUCUAUUCAUGUGUGUAUAUUUCAGAUACAUGCUUCAUUAUGUCCCUGGAUUCCUGGUCAGUGUCUCUGAGAUAAUUGUCUGGUCUUUGCUACCACUGUUCUAGCAUGACAUCAGGCAGCAAAAUAGAGCAGUUGGAGACCUUUCUCUGUUGUCUGGCAGUUUGACACCUGGACACACUGAGAUCCCAGAAGAGUUCUGUGUUUGGAGACUGGGUCUGAGCAAAGAGACCUCUCUCUUCUUUCUUCAGAUGAAGAGACCUUGUAUAUGUGCUUGAAAUGGGAAGUACACAAAUCUCAGAAUUGUGUCAAUUAUUUUUAAUGAAUUCCAGUUAAUGCAUGUGCAAUUGGGUCUAAACCUGGAAUAUAGGCAUGAGCCUAUAUGUGUGUGUUCAAGCAUGGUAGCAUUGGUCAAAACUCUGUGGUUCCUGACUACCAGGCUUAGUUGUAACCAACUGAGCUCCAGCCCAGCUCCAGUUGCACAUAGCCUGAAUUUCUGAGCACAGGAAAUCUAAAGAUGGAACAAGACCUUUACAUUGAAGUCUGCCAGCACCUGUGGGAGUAAAUGGAGAAGGCUGUCUCCUAGCACAGUCCAGAUGCAUUGCAAGCCACGAAAUAGUCCUGUCUCUUGAAAUUUCCAGCCUGAUCUGGAGACUGGUGCCUCCCUGAUGUAAUGGUAGUGACAGUCACCAGCAGCUGUAUGCUUCGAUGUCCACUCACAUCAAAUGCUACACCUAGAUUGCAUUCUGGUAGGCAGUCUUUAACAGCACUGAGAUGGGCUGUGAUAACAAGGCUUUAACAGAUUUGUAAAACUGCUGCCCUAUUCAUAACUGCCAUGCAGUCUUAGAAUGCCAGGUAUUUCUUCUUGUAAGGUACUGUUUUCCGAGUCCUCAUAUGUGCCCUUAUAUUCAGAUAGGCCACACAUCUGUACACUACUUCAGGACUGAUUGUUAUUGGGGUGUGUGUGUGUGUUCUCUUUGUUUUCUAUCACAGGGCCUUCAAGGCAUCCCUUUGAUCUAAUAGGUAAUCUUUUUGUAAAGGGGAGAGGACAGCUCUGUGGCCAGAGGACACUGUUUCACAUCCAUUCAGGUUCACCUGUAGGUUGCCCACAGAGGGUAUUUCUUAUCGUAUGCAAGCCGUGUACCUGCUCUAUUCNNNNNNNNNNGAUAUACUAGGUAAUCUUUUUGUAAAGGGGAGAAGACAGCUGUGGCCAGAGGACACUGUUUCACAUCUGUUCAGGUUCACCUGUAGGUUGCCCACAGAGGGUAUUUCUUAUCGUAUGCAAGCCGUGUACCUGCUCUAUUCUCUACAGACCCAAGUGAGUUAUAUUCAUCUCAGAUGAUUUCCAGAAGGCUGGUUGUGCUUAUCUGGACUUCUGAUGUCAGGAAAGGAGAAAACAAAGUUAAGCCUUUAAACAGGAGCAAAACAAAUUUAUGACUCCUCUGAAACUCUGUAAGAAAGAGGAGAUGAGGGGAAGGAACAAUGAUUAAAGUAAAUUUGCAGUCUCAUUUAAUAAGUUAUUACUGGGUUGGGGAAAAGCUGGCAGAAUAACAUUUCUGAAGCCUUUAAAACAAUUCCAGCUUGAUGGGAAAACCUCUGAGCCUUCCAGGAAUAAAUCCUGUGCUAACAAGGAUGCUAUAUUUUAUUACCUUCUGGUAAUAUCUAUGGACAAAUCAAGAACAGAGCCCCACUGUGCUGUGAGCUGUACAGACUCGAGGUGGUUCAGAAGAGUCCCCCAGGGAAGGAGACAGUGAAGGGGUGAGAUGAGAUAAGCAGAAAGCAUGUAGGAGACAAGGAGGAAAAUGAGUAGCACCAGUAACUCUGUAAAGAAAGCUAAAGUAAAC